rnacentral:rRNA from 1 species
UUAAGCGACUAAGCGUACACGGUGGAUGCCCUGGCAGUCAGAGGCGAUGAAGGACGUGCUAAUCUGCGAUAAGCGUCGGUAAGGUGAUAUGAACCGUUAUAACCGGCGAUUUCCGAAUGGGGAAACCCAGUGUGAUUCGUCACACUAUCAUUAACUGAAUCCAUAGGUUAAUGAGGCGAACCGGGGGAACUGAAACAUCUAAGUACCCCGAGGAAAAGAAAUCAACCGAGAUUCCCCCAGUAGCGGCGAGCGAACGGGGAGCAGCCCAGAGCCUGAAUCAGUGUGUGUGUUAGUGGAAGCGUCUGGAAAGGCGCGCGAUACAGGGUGACAGCCCCGUACACAAAAAUGCACAUGCUGUGAGCUCGAUGAGUAGGGCGGGACACGUGGUAUCCUGUCUGAAUAUGGGGGGACCAUCCUCCAAGGCUAAAUACUCCUGACUGACCGAUAGUGAACCAGUACCGUGAGGGAAAGGCGAAAAGAACCCCGGCGAGGGGAGUGAAAAAGAACCUGAAACCGUGUACGUACAAGCAGUGGGAGCACGCUUAGGCGUGUGACUGCGUACCUUUUGUAUAAUGGGUCAGCGACUUAUAUUCUGUAGCAAGGUUAACCGAAUAGGGGAGCCGAAGGGAAACCGAGUCUUAACUGGGCGUUAAGUUGCAGGGUAUAGACCCGAAACCCGGUGAUCUAGCCAUGGGCAGGUUGAAGGUUGGGUAACACUAACUGGUGGACCGAACCGACUAAUGUUGAAAAAUUAGCGGAUGACUUGUGGCUGGGGGUGAAAGGCCAAUCAAACCGGGAGAUAGCUGGUUCUCCCCGAAAGCUAUUUAGGUAGCGCCUCGUGAAUUCAUCUCCGGGGGUAGAGCACUGUUUCGGCAAGGGGGUCAUCCCGACUUACCAACCCGAUGCAAACUGCGAAUACCGGAGAAUGUUAUCACGGGAGACACACGGCGGGUGCUAACGUCCGUCGUGAAGAGGGAAACAACCCAGACCGCCAGCUAAGGUCCCAAAGUCAUGGUUAAGUGGGAAACGAUGUGGGAAGGCCCAGACAGCCAGGAUGUUGGCCUAGAAGCAGCCAUCAUUUAAAGAAAGCGUAAUAGCUCACUGGUCGAGUCGGCCUGCGCGGAAGAUGUAACGGGGCUAAACCAUGCACCGAAGCUGCGGCAGCGACGCUGAUGCGUUGUUGGGUAGGGGAGCGUUCUGUAAGCCUGUGAAGGUGUGCUGUGAGGCAUGCUGGAGGUAUCAGAAGUGCGAAUGCUGACAUAAGUAACGAUAAAGCGGGUGAAAAGCCCGCUCGCCGGAAGACCGAGGGUUCCUGUCCAACGUUAAUCGGGGCAGGGUGAGUCGACCCCUAAGGCGAGGCCGAAAGGCGUAGUCGAUGGGAAACAGGUUAAUAUUCCUGUACUUGGUGUUACUGCGAAGGGGGGACGGAGAAGGCUAUGUUGGCCGGGCGACGGUUGUCCCGGUUUAAGCGUGUAGGCUGGUUUUCCAGGCAAAUCCGGAAAAUCAAGGCUGAGGCGUGAUGACGAGGCACUACGGUGCUGAAGCAACAAAUGCCCUGCUUCCAGGAAAAGCCUCUAAGCAUCAGGUAACAUCAAAUCGUACCCCAAACCGACACAGGUGGUCAGGUAGAGAAUACCAAGGCGCUUGAGAGAACUCGGGUGAAGGAACUAGGCAAAAUGGUGCCGUAACUUCGGGAGAAGGCACGCUGAUAUGUAGGUGAAGUCCCUCGCGGAUGGAGCUGAAAUCAGUCGAAGAUACCAGCUGGCUGCAACUGUUUAUUAAAAACACAGCACUGUGCAAACACGAAAGUGGACGUAUACGGUGUGACGCCUGCCCGGUGCCGGAAGGUUAAUUGAUGGGGUCAGCGCAAGCGAACCUCUUGAUCGAAGCCCCGGUAAACGGCGGCCGUAACUAUAACGGUCCUAAGGUAGCGAAAUUCCUUGUCGGGUAAGUUCCGACCUGCACGAAUGGCGUAAUGAUGGCCAGGCUGUCUCCACCCGAGACUCAGUGAAAUUGAACUCGCUGUGAAGAUGCAGUGUACCCGCGGCAAGACGGAAAGACCCCGUGAACCUUUACUAUAGCUUGACACUGAACAUUGAGCCUUGAUGUGUAGGAUAGGUGGGAGGCUUUGAAGUGUGGACGCCAGUCUGCAUGGAGCCGGCCUUGAAAUACCACCCUUUAAUGUUUGAUGUUCUAACGUUGACCCGUGAUCCGGGUUGCGGACAGUGUCUGGUGGGUAGUUUGACUGGGGCGGUCUCCUCCUAAAGAGUAACGGAGGAGCACGAAGGUUGGCUAAUCCUGGUCGGACAUCAGGAGGUUAGUGCAAUGGCAUAAGCCAGCUUGACUGCGAGCGUGACGGCGCGAGCAGGUGCGAAAGCAGGUCAUAGUGAUCCGGUGGUUCUGAAUGGAAGGGCCAUCGCUCAACGGAUAAAAGGUACUCCGGGGAUAACAGGCUGAUACCGCCCAAGAGUUCAUAUCGACGGCGGUGUUUGGCACCUCGAUGUCGGCUCAUCACAUCCUGGGGCUGAAGUAGGUCCCAAGGGUAUGGCUGUUCGCCAUUUAAAGUGGUACGCGAGCUGGGUUUAGAACGUCGUGAGACAGUUCGGUCCCUAUCUGCCGUGGGCGCUGGAGAACUGAGGGGGGCUGCUCCUAGUACGAGAGGACCGGAGUGGACGCAUCACUGGUGUUCGGGUUGUCAUGCCAAUGGCACUGCCCGGUAGCUAAAUGCGGAAGAGAUAAGUGCUGAAAGCAUCUAAGCACGAAACUUGCCCCGAGAUGAGUUCUCCCUGACUCCUUGAGAGUCCUGAAGGAACGUUGAAGACGACGACGUUGAUAGGCCGGGUGUGUAAGCGCAGCGAUGCGUUGAGCUAACCGGUACUAAUGAACCGUGAGGCUUAACCUU